ACAGUCUAUUUAUUGGAGGAGAGAAAUGUAAACAAAUAUAACAAUGGAUGGGUGCUUUUAUAAGAUGUAAAUUCCCUUUACAUUAACAACAGUACAAAACAACUUUAACCCAUACCAUUUGGGAAGACAUACCAUCCAAAGACAUAUACUACUUGCUAACAGUUACAUAUGCGUGUCAUGUAAAGGAAAGUCAACUCACAUAAUUAAUCAUGGAAUAACUGAAUGGUUUAGAUGACACCUUAGAAGCUUUCUUCUAUCCCACUGUUUUCUGAAAUAACGACAACAACAAAAAGACACAUUAAAAAAAAAAAAAGAAAGAGGGUUGCAGUGGCAAGCACAGUGUCUGGAACACAGGAGAGGCUCAAAAAUAUUUGAAAAAUGAACAAAUAUAUUAAUAGCAAGACGGGGAAGAGGUUUUCCUAUUUUUUUCUAGUGAGCCUUGUUCACAGUGUUCAUUUUGGAACUCAAUUAGAGGAUCUCACAUCCUAGCUAUGAACAUGCUAACAUCUAUACGUGCUUCUAUGGUUCUGUGGGAAAAAAUGUGAAGGGUUUAUGAACAGGGUGCUGUGGAAGACUAGAUCUCCAUCUUCCCUGUAGCUAGGGGUGGCCAAUGAGUCAGAAAUGGAAAUUUUAGAGUGGGAGUUCCAGGUCAUGUUCUUAAAGAGAAUUGACUCGGAAAAAAGGUAGAUUCUUUUUUGCUUCAUUUUUCGCUGUUUAUCUGGAACACAGAUGUAAUUACCGGAGCUCCAGCAGCUAUACUGGGCCAUGAGACAAACUGGAGGAAGGAAAACUCCUGCUAGGAAUGACAGGGAGCAGAAAGAUAAAAGGAAUUUGGCUCCCUGGUGACCAUGAAGCCACCAAACCCAAACUUAGGCUGUCCACCUCUUGACCUCUUUCAUGUAGGAGAUGUAAAAUCUUUAUUUUGUUUAAGCCUAGAAUUUUCUGUUAUGCACAGCUGAGCCAAAUGCCAACUUAUACACUGUCAUUUUAUUGUUCUUCUUGGGGGCUUGACUGUCAGGAAUUUCUUUCCUUUUACCUUCCUUCAUAGCUUUCCCUGCCACCAGCCCUCCACCUAUCCUUAAGUCCAGGGGUCGACGAACUUUUUCUUUAAGGGCAACACAGGAACUAUUUCAGGCUUUGGGAGCUGUAUGAUCUCUAUUGCAUACUCAGAGCAAACCUGACUUGCUAUUGUAGUGCAAAAGCAGCCACAGACAAUACAUAAACAAAUAUGUGUGGCUAUGUUCCAGCAAAACCUUAUUUAUAAGAACAUGUGGCUGGGCUUGGUGGCUCACGCCUGUAAUCCCAGCACUUUGGGAGCCCGAUGUGGGCAGAUCACGAGGUCAGGAGUUCGAGACCAGCCUGGCCAACAUAGUGAAACCCCAUCUCUGCUAAAAAUACAAAAUUAGCCCGGUGUGGUGGCACACGCCUGUAAUCCCAGCUACUCAGGAGGCUGAGGCGGGAGAAUCACUUGGGAGGCAGAGGUUGCAGUGAGCCGAGACCAUGCCAUGCCACCGCACUCCAAUCUGGGUGACAGAGUGAGACUCUGUCUCCAAAAAAAAAAGAACAUGCAGCUGGCUUGCAGGUCCAUUUGCUGACCUCUGCUUUUUUUUCUCUGAGACAGAGUUUUGCUCUGUUGUCCAGGCUGGAGUGUGGUGGUGUGUCUGGAAUUGGUGGGUUCUUGGUCUCACUGACUUCAGGAAUGAAGCCGCAGAACCUCGCAGUGAGUGUUAACAGUUCUUAAAGGUGGUGUGUCCGGAGUUUGUUCCUUCUGAUGGUCGGACGUCUUCAGAGUUUCUUCCUUCUGGUGGGUUCGUGGUCUCGCUGGCUUCAGGAGUGAAGCUGCAGACCUUCGCGGUGAGUGUUACAGCUCUUAAGGCGGUGCUUCUGGAGUUGUUCAUUCUUCCCCGUGGGUUAGUGGUCUAGCUGGCCUCAGGAGUGAAGCUGCAGACCUUUGUGGUGAGUGUUACAGCUCAUAAAGGCAGUGCAGACCCAAAAACUGAGCAGCAGCAAGAUUUAUUGCAAAGAGUGAAAGAACAAAGCUUCUACAGUGUGGAAAGGGACCCAAGUGGGUUGCCGCUGCUGGCUAGGACAGCCUGCUUUUAUUCUCUUAUCUGACCACCCACCCCCGUCCCACGCUCCCCCACAUCCUGCUGAUUGGUCCAUUUUACAGAGAUGGCCAUUGGGCGGUCCAUGGGACCUGGCGCCGCCGAGCAGGGGCGGUGUGUGUCGGGGAGGCUAGGGCAGCGCAGGAGCCAAUUGCCGGGGAGGAGGGGUGGCUCGCGCAUGUUCGGCUGCAGGUGCCGAGCCCUGCCCUGCGGAGGCGGCUGAGGCCCGGCGAGAAUUCCCGGCGCGGGCGGGCGGGCAGUACUGGGGGACCUGGCGCACCCUCUGCAGCUGCUGGCCCGGGUGCUAAGCCCCUUACUGCCGGCGGCCAGCAGCGCUGGCGGGCUGCUCCGAGUGUGGGGCCUGCGGAUCCCGCGCCCACCCGGAACUCGCGCUGGCCCGCUAGCGCCGUGCGCAGCUCCGGUUCCCGCCCACUCCUAUCCCUCUACACCUGCCUGCAAGCAGAGGGAGCUGGUUCCGGCCUCAGCCUGCCUAGAGAGGGGCUCCUACAGUGCAGCGGCGGGCUGAAGGGCUCCUCAAGCGCGGCCAGAGUGGACGCGGAGGCCGAGGAGGCGCCCAGAGCGAGCGAGGGCUGCUAGCAUGUUGUCACCUCUCAGUGGCAUGAUCUCCAUUCACUGCAACCUCCACCUCUCGGGUUCAAGCGAUUCUCCUGCCUCAGCCUCAUGUAGCUGGGAUUACAGGCACAAGCCACCACACCUGGCUAAUUUGUUUUGAAUUUUUAGUAGAGAGGGGGUUUCACCAUGUUGGCCAGGCCAGUCUUCAACUCCUGGACUCAAGUAAUCCACCUGCCUCAGCCUUCCAAAAUGCUGGGAUUACAGGCGUGAGCCAUCACGUCCUGCCCUGACCUCUGCUUUCAGCCACAAACUUAGGUAAAAGAAAGGUAGCUUUUGCUCAUAAAGUGAUUGGAGACAGCCUGUUGUCCAACAGUGUCUCCCUUAUUGGACCAUGACUUUUCCCAGGCAGGGGCCAUGUCUUAUUUGUGUGUAUAUUUCCAUCACCCAGCACAGCACUUGGCACGUGAUACAGGUUCAGUAUAUAUUUUCAAACAAAUAAAUUGAAGUGAAGAAUUGAGUCAAGGAGACAAGACCUUUGAAGGCCAAAAGAUCGAAGUUUGUGGUAAUGAGACAUCGAGCUCUGGUUUGAACUAAAAUCCUUUGAAGUGAAAAACCUCUUGAGUGGUUGUGAAACUUGAACUUACCAUAAAUAUCUCUUCGUAUUUUUUGAGCCGAUUAAUCCGUGGCUCCCAUAAAAUCUUCUGCAUAUUAAACAACAGGGUAAGAGCACCACGCCUUCCUCUGCCUCCACCGCCAACUUGGCGGAGACUAGACCCAAGGAUGCAGGAACUGUUCCUCUCCGUCUGAGCCUGCUGGGCUGAAUGGGCAUGAAGAAAGUUGGAGAACAGAACAUGCAAACCGGGUAUUAUCAUUUUCCAUCUGUGCUACCAUGUGAAAAAGGUUGGGAAACUCUACUGGAAACUGACCUCGCUCUUGGGACCCACCCUGCCAGGCAAAAGGGGUCUUCAGAUUGACAGAGCUGUACUCACGGAACUACACCCCAAGGAGGCUCAUCUGCAUCAAGAUCUGACUUAGAUGAUAAAAUCCUGGACCUCAAGCUUGAGUGGAUGCCAUAAUGGGAUGAGACUUUUGGGUCUUAGGAGGAGACACGUGUAUUUACCAUGUGGGAGGAAUGUAAAUAAUAUGCAAUCAGAGAGCAUACUGUGACAAAGAUGACUGCAAAUUCUUUGACCCUCUUCCUAUUAAGAGUUAUUGUCUUAUCUCCCUCCUCUUGAAUCCAAGCUGGCCCUGGGGAAUUGCUUGACCAAUAGAAUACACAGGAAGUGAAGUUUGGGACUUGUGAGAUUAGGGCAUUAGAAGCCUUGCAGUUCCUGCCUGGAUGUCUUGAAAAGUUUUCUCUUGGAAUACUCCUUUUUAGAAUCUCACUAUCCUGUGGAUUCUAAAUUCUGUGAGAAGCCCAAACCACACAGACUACAUAUAAAUCCUCAAUCAGUAGCCCCAGAAGAACUCCCAGUCCUCAGUGAACAUUGACUGGUGGCCAUAUGAUUUGUCAUCUCGGACAUCCAGCCCAGUUCAGCUUUCAGAUGACUGCAGCCCCAGCUGCCAUCUGACUGCAUCUGUGUGAGAGACUAUAGGUGAAAACUUCCCACCUGACCCAGUCAAUCCACAGAACCAUGAGAGAUCAUAGUAAAUUGUUUUAAGCCAUUAAAUUUUGAUGAUGGUUUGUUAUGUAACAAGAGAUAACCAGAUAAGGUUAAAUUUUAGAGGUCAACAGUCAUGGUUUCAAAUCUCAAGUUCAUCAUUUAUCAACUAUGUGAUUGUGGGCAAGUCACCUAAAAUAUCUGAGCUUCAUUUUCCUCAUCUAUGAAAUGGGAAUCAAAACAGAACCCACCUAAUGGGUUUGUUAUGGGAAUUAAAAGAGAGAAUGUAUGAAAAGCGACAAUAUAGUGACAGAAAGUGGGUCAGUAGGUAGUUACUAUGGUUAGUAAACCAGUGUGAGUCAUCUGCUUUUGUUGAAAGGUAGAUGAGAUGCUUGUGGCCAUGUGGGAAGAAUUAAUUUAAGAAUCUGGUCAUUUUACUAAGGACCUGAGAGUAAGGUUAGGUCAUUAGCAUCUUUGUAUUUGCUGUCCAUUUUUCUAUAAUGGACUAUAGGGGAUUUUGAUUCAUGGGGGAAAUGUUCUGAAAAAAACCUGGGCUCAGAAGAAAUAGAAACACUUGGCCUUUUAAAAUGGGGCUGUUAUGGUUCCAUAGACGGCACGUACCACCUCCACAUGCGCUGAGCAGGCCUAGCUCACUGAGGUCAUAGUGAGCAGUUGAGCAGACCCAGCCCUUGUUACAGUGAGACCAGAGGCACUAGCCUAGAGAGAAGGAGCAGGGGCUCUGAAGCCCCCUGGAGACCUAAGAUGCUGCUGCUGUCCACUGUAUGUGCAUGUAGAUGGGUGAGUGGGUGCUGGAAUUCCACAUGGGGUGAGGGCAAACUUAAAGAGGCUGGACCCCAGCCGAGAGGUUUAAAGGAAUGUCUUGAUGUUCAGCCCAUCACCAUACUGAUGUGCUCUGUGAGCUUUGUCACCCAUUCAUUUAUUUAUAUAGGCAUUCACUCAUUCAACAACCAUUUAUUGCAUGCCUCUAUGCACCAGGCCCUGUGCUAUGCUCUGGGGACACACGACACUUAAGAGACGGUUCCUCCCCUGUGAUCAUGAGGGGCUCAUGAACCAGCAGGGGAGACAGACAGGUAAACAGGAAGUAUGGCUAGGGGGUAAGUACCACAGUAGAGGGCGACAUGGGAGUGCAGAGGAGGGGCUCCAACUCUGGCAUCAACCUACUCCACCUUGGGAAAAAGUUCUAAACAGGGAAGCGAGUGAGGCAUGAGCUGCAUCUGGAAAAAGGGAUAGGCUUGGGAUUGACCUAGUGAACUGUAGGCGAAAGCCACCGACCAGAGGCACCGAAGGACAGGGCCACACUGGCCUCUAGGGGCCAUAGACUGGCACACUCUCAGGCAGCCCUGGAAUCUGGUGAGUCUGUUCCACAACUCCCAUGGGGCCUGCAGAGAGCAAGUGUCUCUCACAGGCACAGAUUAAAGCAAAACAUCUCAACUAUGUCUUGGUUUUGGCUCCACAGAUGACUUCUGUGUGGGCGAAUCUUCUUAAUGCGUUCUCUUACUUUUUAUUGUCCAUGCUGUAAAACGUUAAAAAAAAAAAAAAAAAGCUAAAAUAAACUUCCAGAGUUCAAAAUGGCAGACUGUGACUAGGGCCAAUGUCCUUUUCCUUCCAAUGUUGGUUUGUCUGCCAAGUGAUCUCAUACUUGCUUGGUGAGGCUCUGCCUCCUCGACUCCUAUCUUCUCUUUCCUCCACCUCCCCAUUCCCGGCCACAUGAGGUUCUCAUCAGCAUCAUUGUGGUCAAAGGACUAGGCCCUGGGGUGCAGUCUGCCCUGACUCUCUUUGGGGCUUGGCUGAGGGAAUUUACUUGUAUCCCGAUUUAGAAGCUGAAUUGCCUACAGAGGAUUGGGACCCAACAUGACAUUUUCUGUCAGUGACAGUAUAGAGCUCUCUAUUUCCUUAUCCAACUGAUUGUUUAGGACUAAGUUAGGAACUGCUUUCUCCCUGGAGUAAUCGCACAACAUGGGCCAGCCAUGGUCAAGUACAAUCUGAGUGUAAUGUUCAUCAGCAUCAGUUGGUGAGGGUCCUAGUUCUAGACUGAGAGCUCCUUCAGGGGAGGAAGCAGACUUUUGCCAAUUUCCCAACACUAGCCAGCUCUGUGACAUCUGGAAGGGGCUCGGUGGCAGUUGUUGAAUUUAAUCUGGAUACCACCCAGGCAGGCAACAACCCUCUGGUUCACCUUAUUAUGAGAGAGGCAGUCUCUUCUACAACCAAAUACUAAUAAUGAUAAUGGUAACAAAACACUAUUACUAUUUAUUGAGCCCUGAUGCUUUGUCAGAUACUAGGAUAGGCACUUUAUAUCCUUUACCUGAUUUGAGAGCCAGAAUCUCUGGGUGUAUAGGUUUCACCGUCCUCGUUUUACUGAUGAAGAAAUGAAAUCUCAGAGAGGGUAGGCAGUUUGCAACAGCCUGGUUGUUGGGGCUCAGAAUCUUGGACAGUCCAUUAUGAAGACCCUGACUCUUUUUUAUUUUUGCUUUUUUUGAGACGGAGUUUUACUCUUGUGGCCCAGGCUGGAGUGCAAUGGCAUGAUCUUGGCUCACGGCAACCUCCACCUCCCGGGUUCAAGCGAUUCUCCUGCUUCAGCCUCCCGAGUAGCUGGGAUUACAGGCAUGCACCACCACACCUGGCUAAUUUUGUAUUUUUACUAGAGAUGGGGUUUCUCCAGGUUGGUCAGGCUGGUCUUGAACUCCCGACCUCAGGUGAUCCACCUGCCUCAGCCUCCCAAAGUGCUGGGAUUACAGGACCUUGACUGUUAUGCGUGAUGUUUUGUUGUAAAUGACUGCGCUAACACUGGUGGAAAGACCUAACCCUGCAGAAUUCCCCAGGUACCAGGCAGCUGGGGGACAAAUUUAUACUCAAGGUUCCUCUCAGGCAUCGCCUUUGUCUAGGGCAGACAUCUAGCUCUGUCUCCUUAUGGAGGACUGAGGGAGAAGCAGGAAUCAGGCUUAUGCAGUCGAAGGCUCAGUUUUAGUGCCCAAGCAGCAAAGAGAUAAAUGCCAUCCUAGUUCCCACUUAAAGUAAGCAGACAAGCCCUGGGGCUCACAUGGACAGGAGGAAGCUGAGGGAUUCAGUAAGUCUGUUUAUUUUGGUUUGUAUUUGACCUUGCAUUACAUUCACCAAGCAACUCCCAGUGAAUGCAGAAACCUUUCCUCUGCCUCGGGAACAUUUCCAUACAAACAGGAACACAGCACAGAUGACAAAAAUUAAGAUGUACUCUCCAGCUUGCCUUGCUGUAUUAUUUAAAACAAUUACUGUAUGAUUUUCGUUUCACAUAGCCAUGGAAACCCUGCUGAAAGGAUUUAAUACAAUUUAUUGUGUGAAGCUUAAGAAGAAAUCUGUUUCCCCGGUGCUGGAAAACAAAGCAAGCCAGUUUCUCCUCACUUCCUACAAGGUGUGAUGGACGCAAAUUGUGGACCGGUGACCUCACCCAGCAGGGACUGAGCUUUCUGGGAAAGCAUUCUGGAGAUAAGUGGACCUGUUUCUUUUAGAGGCAGCAGAAAACAAAGCCGGUGCCAGAGGAAUGAUAAUCUCCUUUGAUGUGCCCGGAACUGCUUGACUGUUUCAGAAAGGGAAGCACAGCUCUGAGUGGCAGUACUACAAUGCCUUUCAGUAAACACAAUAGACAAAUUUCCCUGCCAGGUUACCCCAGGAGCCUCUCCACUCACAGGAUCCUCUUAUAGGUAUCUUGGUGUCAGCGAUGGGAUCCUAGGAAGGAGAGUUGCUUGACACCACGCUCUGAUGAGAGGGUGGGCUCACUUUAGAGCCUAUUAGUACCAAUGGCACAGCUCAACCCUAUCUGCCUGUUAGAAACUCCUAAGGAUCUUCAGAAAACAUGGAAGCCUAAUUCCCAGAACUAAUUGAUUAUAUUAGAACCUGUAUUUUAAACAGCUCUCCAGAUGAUGAUUAUGUGCAGCUAGGGUUGAGAUCCACUGCUCUGGGACUUGAACUUCUUUAGGCUGAACUCUUUGUCUGUUUACUUUCUGAUUCUCAGCUAGAGACCCAGGGCCUGAUGAUCUGUAAACCUAGAAAGGCGGCUGUAGCACAAAACUCAUCUUUGCAGCUCAGCUCUUCAUCCCUAAAUUCAGUGGGUGAAGGGAAGAAUAUUAAAUUGCAGAAGAAUUCCCAAAAAUUGGGGAAGCUGGAUAAAGCGUUCACUGGACCUCUCUGCAGUGUUUUUGCAACUUCCUAUGGAAGCUAAGGCAGAAACACGAAGAGCAUGUGGAUUGGACAAUGGAGGUGGGAAGAAGACAAAGGGGAAUACACGUGUUUGGGUAAGGGGGUCACCCAACAAAGAGAGGUGCUCUGUUAAUUUUGGGGGAGAAACACUGAAUGCCAAGCAGGAGACAACCAAAAAUAAACUUCGCUGCCUCUCAGUUUUACCAAAGACUAAUAAGGCUUCUGGGGAUCUUCAGAGAUAGCAUGUGUAAGACCCCUCUGGGUUAUAUUCAACACCCCAAGUAUGAAUCCCCACUCAUACUUCCUUGCUGGGCUGCUUUGUGCUAGUUACUUAAUCUCUCUGAGCCUUAAUUCUCAUUUGUAGAUGGAGAUUGUCUUAUCUCACAGGAUCCCCAUGUGGAUGAAGGGGUGUGGUCCUGGAUAAGCUCUCAGUGAACAGCAGUUCUUAUUUCACAUGGUGGGAGAAGAGGGUCUGUAUGCUGCACCCUCCUGAAGUGACUUGGGCUUGGCUGCUGCUUUUGAAAGACACAAAUUGUUACUUGUCAUUUGAUAGCCAAAAGGUGCUCCCUGCAACUGUGCUUAAACAUUGUCUUAUGUUAGUUAGGACACAAGGCUGGCCUGCUAGGCCUUGGAAAUGGGUGUGUCAGUGAGUUUAUGCCACCUUCCCAUAGUGGCAGAGGUGGGAAGGAAGCUGGCAGGUGAAGGGUUACAUAAGCAAAAGUGGGCAGUACCCACCUACGUGUGUUGGCACCGGCAUCGGUUCCCUUGGAGGUGGUUCCUUCUGCCCUAGAAUGACCCUGUUGGAGUCAGAUCAACUGAUAAUCAAAGCCCUUUACAAAAACAAGGUCAGCCCCCUGCAAAGAAAGCUCCAUUUCCAGUGGGGCCAAGGUCCUGUUUAUUUCAUCUGUGGCUUUCUCAGUUUAGUAGGAUGCCUUUGAUAAGCUGCAGUCAGCACCCCCAGUGACCCUUAAUGACAGCCUGACUCAGCCAAAUGCUUCUGGUCUCAGGUUAUGGAUGAAUACCCACUGAACUCUGGAUACAGAUCUCUGAGGCUGUGCAGAUUUCACAUCCCUCUUGAAAAAUGAAGUGACAAAGUCCCUGUUUAAUUCAGGCCCUUGCCACUUCCCCAUGUCAUACAUUCUAGCCUUCAAUUAUGGCUUUUGGAGAAAUGCUUCCACAAUGAUGGUUCUGGUGCUUGCUAAUAAAUUUCCAUGAUCUGUUCAUCUUCUUAAGGAGGCUCAGUUGAGUCAGGCUCAGCUAACCAGGGGAGCUGGGAUAAGCCCUCUCUACAUUCUCAGACAUGAUAGAGGAAAGUUGUGCCCUCCAAGAAGGUUGUUAAUUGAUGGUCAUCCUCUUAGCUUCUUUCAGACUUCUUUCAUUACAUGUGGUCCACAUGAAAAGUAUUAUUUCUCUAUCUCAAACUGGAGGGAGUAGAAUAGCUUUGGCUAAUGUUUGAGUGUUUGUUCAAAGUCAGGUGCUGGUCUAAGUGCUUCUCAUGAAUGAACUCACUAAUCCUCAUCUGCCCAGAGGUAGCUGAUAUAAUUAUAUUUGCUUUGCAGAUGGAGGAAUGAGGCACAGAGCAGUUGAGUAACAUGACUUGUAAAUGGUGCUACCAGGUCCCAAAGCCAGGUGCUCAAACACGAGAACUCAUGCUUUUACCUAGAGCACUGAGCUGCCAAUCAUUAUUGCUUGGGAUUUAACAAUGACCAAGUAAUAUAAAGCCCCUCCCUGUCAGGAGUAGGGCCAGAAUUUCCACUUAGGCAGAGCUAGAGGCAACUGUGGGGUAAAGGGGAUGACUAAGAGGCUUGCCCUAAAGCUGCUUUUUCACAAUUUACAUAAAACUGAGAACAUGUUCAUGACCCACAUUGCUAUGGUUUGAAUGUGUUCCCCAAUGUUCAUGUGUUGGAAACUUAAUCCCUAGUGCAAAAGUGUUUAGACGUGGGACCUUUAAAAGGAAGGUGAUUAGGUCAUAAGGGUUCUGCCUCCAUGAAUGAAUUAAUGCUGUUGUUACAUGAGUGGGUUAGCUAUUGUGAGAGUGGGUUCCUGAUAAAAGGAUGAGAUUGACCUCAUUUUCUCUCAUGUGGACACAUGCUCUCUAGCCCUUCUGCCUUUGCCGUGGGCUGACACAGCAAGAAGGCCCUCACCAAAUGCAGCCCCUCUAUCUUGGAAUUCCCAGCCUCCAGAACCAUGAGCCAAAUAAAUUUCUUUUCUUCAACAUAUUAUCCAGUCUCAGGUAUUCCGUUAUAGCAGCAGAAAACAGACGAAGAUACAUGUCAAUGAAUGGGGGUACGUGUCUGAUGUGCUAAAGCCCUUCCUUUCAUGCACGUCCCUGUGAAGAGACCACCAAACAGGCUUUGUGUGAGCAACAUGGCUGUUUAUUUCACCUGGGUGCAGGCGGGCUGAGUCCGAAAAGAGAGUCAGCGAAGGGAAAUAAGGGUGGGGCCGUUUUAUAAGAUUUGGGUAGGUAAAGGAAAAUUACAGUCAAAGGGGUUUGUUCUCCGGCGGGCAGGAGUGGGGGUCACAAGGUGCUCAGUGGGGGUGCUUUUUGAGCCAGGAUGAGCCAGGAAAAGGACUUUCACAAGGUAAUGUCAUCACUUAAGGCAAGGACCGGCCAUUUUCACUUCUUUUGUGGUGGAAUGUCAUCAGUUAAGGUGGGGCAGGGCAUAUUCACUUCUUUUGUGAUUCUUCAGUUACUUCAAGCCAUCUGGGCGUAUACGUGCAAGUCACAGGGGAUGCGAUGGCUUGGCUUGGGAUCAGAGGCCUGACAUUCCUGCCUUCUUAUAUUAAUAAGAAAAAUAAAACAAAAUGGUGUUGAAGUGUUGGAGUGGCAAAAAUUUUUGGGGGGUGAUAUGGAGAGAGAAUGGGCGAUGUUUCUCAGGGCUGCUUCAAGUGGGAUUAGGUGCGGCCUGGGAACCUAGAGUGGGAGAGAUUAAGCUGAAGGGAGGUCUUGGGUAAGGGGUGAUAUUGUGGGGAUGUUAGAAGAAACAUUUGGUGAUGGCCUGGAUACGGUUUUGGAUGAAUUGAGAAACUAAAUGGAAUAACAGAAGGAGAAAAACAGGUAUAAAAGGUCUAAGAAUUGGGAUAACUCAGGAUAUCUGAUUAGAGAGUGCCUAAGGAGAUUCAGCAUAGUCCUGCCAGCAAAGAUUAUUUAUUUACUUCAAGAGUUAAGAGUGGCAGUUUGGGGAUAGCAUCAGGAGAUAUCAGCUGUGAUGGCUUGGAAAAACAGUGUAAACUGGCAGUGUAAACAAGAGCAGGGCAUGUAUGAGUAGUUGAGAAUGGUGAAUAGGAGUAUGACUAGACAGAAGAUAGUAGGGAUGACAAGUUUUUUUGGGGGGCACAGUCUAAGUUUGUCUGGUGUCUGGAAUGAGACUGGGGCCUAAUAAAAAGGAGCGUCUAUACAGGAGCUCAAAUGGGCUGUACCCUGUAGCAUUCCGAGGACAGGCCUGAAUUCUGAGAAGGGAAAGUGGUAAAAGUAUUGUCCAGUCCUUUUUAAGUUGGUGGCUGAGCUUGGUGAGGUGUGUUUUUAAAAGACCUUUAGUCCAUUCUACUUUUCUUGAAGACGGAGGACCGUAAGGGAUAUAAAGGUUUCACUGAAUACUAAGAGCCUGAAAAACUGCUUGGCUGAUUUGACUAAUGAAGGCUCGUCUGUUAUCAGACUGUAUAGAGGUGGGAAGCCUAAACUGAGGAAUUAUGUCUGACAGAAGGGUAGAAAUGACUGCGGUGGCCUUCUCAGACCCUGUAGGAAAGGCCUCUACCUAUCCAGUGAAAGUAUCUACCUAGACUAAGAGGUAUUUUCGUUAUCUGACUCAGGGCAUGUUGAGUAAAGCUAAUUUGCCAGUCCUGGGUGGGGCAAAUCCUGGAGCUUGAUGUGUAGGGAAGGGAGGGGGCCUGAAUAAUCCUUCAGGAGUAGUAGAAUAGCGGAUGGAACACUGAGAAGUUAUUUCCUUGAGGAUAGAUUUCCACGAUGGAAAGGAAAUGAGAGGUUCUAAGAGGCGGGCUAGUGGCUUGUACUAUAGCAUAGCCUGCCUUUGCUGGUGUGUGGCGAUUAGGCCUGGUGGAACCGCCAUCAAUAAAUCAAGCGUGAUCAGGGUGAGGAACAGGAAGGAAGGAAAUUUGGGGAAAUGGGAUGAAUGUCAGGUGGAUCAGAGAGAUAACAGUCAUGGGGGUCAGGUGUGGUAUCAGGAAUAAUGUGGGAGGCCGGAUUGAAGUCUGGGCCAGGAAAAACGUUAAUUGUGGGAGACUCAACGAAGACUGAGUAUAGCUGAAGGAGCCAGGAAGCAGAAAGUAUAUGCGUCAGGUAUGAGGAAGAAAAUAGAUUUUGGAAGUUAUGAGAACUAUAGAGAGUGAGUUGAGCACAGUUUGUGAUUUUGAGGGCCUCUAAAAGUAUUCAUGCAGCGGCAGCCGCUGCAAGCAGACAUGAGGGCUAGGCUAAAACAGUAAGGUCAAGUUAUUUGGACAGAAAAGCUACAGGGUGUGGUCCUGGCUCUUGUGUAAGAAUUCUGACCAUGCUAACCAUGCCUAGGAAGGAAAAGAGUUUUGUAGAAGGCGCUGGGGUUUGAGAGAUCAGUCAGACACGAUUGGCAGGGAGAGCACGUGUGUUUUUAUGAGAAUUAUGCCGAGAUAGGUAACAGAUGAGGAGGAAAUUUGGGCUUGAUUGAAGUAAUGGGAGCUGUCUGUGAAGCUUUGCGGCAGUACAGCCCAGGUAAUUUGCUGAGCUUGAUGGGUGUCAGGGUCAGUCCAAGGGAAAGCAAAGAGAGGCUGGGAUUAAGGGUGCAAAGGAAUAGUAAAGAAUGCAUGUUUGAGAUCUAGAACAGAAUAAUGGGUUGUAGAGGCAGGUAUUGAGGAUAGGAGAGUAUAUGGGUUUGGCACCACGGGGUGGAUAGGCAAAACAAUUUGGUUGAUAAAGCGCAGAUCCUGAACUAAAUUGUAAGGCUCUUCUGGUUUUAGGACAGGUAAAAUGGGGGAAUUGUAAGGAGAGUUUAUAGGUUUUAAAAGGCCAUGCUGUAGCAGGUGAGUGAUAACAGGCUUUAAUCUUUUUAAAGCGUGCUGCGGGAUUGGAUAUUGGCGCUGAGUGGGGUAAGGGUGAUUAGGUUUUAAUGAGAUGGUAAGGGGUGCAUGAUCGGUCACCAAGGAGGGAGUAGAGGUAUCUUAUACUUGUGGGUUAAGGUGGGGGAUACAAGAGGAGGAUGCAAAGGAGGCUUUGGAUUGGGAAGAAGGACAGCAAUGAGAUGCAGCUGUAGUCCAGGAAUAGUCAGGGAAGCAGAUAAUUUAGUUAAAGUGUCUCAGCCUAAUAAGGGAACUGGGCAAGUGGGGAUAACUAAAAAGGAGUGCUUAAAAGAGUAUUGUCUAAGUUGGCACCAGAGUUGGGGAUUUUAAGAGGUUUAGAAGCCUGGCCGUCAAUACCCACAACAGUUAUGGAGGCAAGGGAAACAGGCCCUUGAAAAGAAGCUAAUGUGGAGUGGGUAGCCUCCAUAUUGAUUAAGAAGGGGACAGGCUUACCUUCCACUGUGAGAGUUACCGAAGCUCGGCGUCUGUGAUGGUCUAUGGGGCUUCCGAGGUGAUCCGGCAGUGUCAGUCUUCAGCCGCUAAGCCGAGAAGAUCUGGGAAGGAGUCAGAGAGCCUUAGGCCAGAGUUCCAGGGGCUCUGGGAGUGGCUGCCAGGUGAGUUGAACAGUCCGAUUUUCAGUGGGGUCCCACACAGAUGGGACGCGGCUUAGGAGGAAUCCCGGGCUGCGGGCAUUCCUUGGCCCAGUGGCCAGAUUUCCGGCAUGUGUAGCAAGCUCCUGGGGGAGGAGGUUCUGGAGGAACGCCUGGCUGCUGCGGUUCAGGCGUUUGGAAGUUCUCUUGUGCUGGAGAUGUGGCUGGGGUUUGUCUCACAGUGGAGGCAAGGAAUUGCAACUUUUUUCUAUUAUUGUACACCUUAAAGGCGAGGUUAAUUAAAUACUGUUGUCGGGUUUGAGGGCCGGAAUUUAAUUUUUGGAGUUUUAUUUCAGAGCAGAUUGGGUAAUAAAAUGUAUUUUGAGAAUAAGAUGGCCUUUUGGCUUUUUAGGGUCUAGGGCUGUAAAGUGUCUCAGGGUUACUGCCAAACAAGUCACGAACUGGGCUGGAUUUUUAUAUUUGAUGAAAAAGAGCCUAAACACUAUCUGAUUCGGGAUAAAGAAAAAGGAGCAUUAACCUUGACUAUGCCUUUAGCUCCAGCCACCUUUUUAAGAGUAAAUUGCUGGGCAGGUGGGGGAGGGCUAGUCACGGAACGAAACUGUAAGCCCGACCAGGUGUGAGGAGGGGAGGCGAUAAAAAGAUUAUAGGGUGGAGGAGCGGAGGCUGAGGAAGAAUUGGGACCUAGCUCGGCCUGGUGAGGAGGGGAGAGGUCAGAUGGGUCUGUAGAAAAGGAAGAUUAGAAAGACUCAGCAACGCUUGGGGUUGGGACUGAGGGGACAGGCCGGAGGGAAAGAAGGAAGAUUUGGGACGAGUUGCAUUGGGCACAGAGACUAGGAAGGGACUGAUGUGUAAAAGAAUGCCUGGACAUCAGGCACCUCAGACCGUUUGCCUAUUUUACGACAAGAAUUAUUUAAAUCUUGCAGGAUGGAAAAAUUCAAAGUGCCAUUUUCUGGCUAUUUGGAACUACUGUCGAGUUUGUAUUGGGGUCAAGUGGCAUUGCAGAAGAAAAUAAGGCAUUUAGGUUUUAGGUCAGGUGUGAGUUGAAGAGGUUUUAAGUUUUUGAGAACACAGGCCAAGGGAGUAGAAGGAGGAAUGGAGGGUGGAAAGUUGCCUAUAGUGAAGUGAAGGAAGCAAGCCUAGAGAAAAGAGAGAGUAGAGAAACAGAGGGAAGGGGUUCGGGGGUUCUUACCUUCCAGAAAAGUGGGAAAAGGGGUUGGGGCGCAGAGAUAAGAGGUCAGGGCGUGGAAAUAAGGGAUGGGGUGCAGAAAUAAGGGGUUGGGGCAUGGAAAUAAGGGGUCAGGGCAUGGAAAUAAGGGAUUGGGGCACAGAGAUACGAGGUUGGGGUGUGGAAAUAAGGGAUUGGGGGUUCUUGCCCCCUAGAAAAGCGGGACUUGCCGCUAAGGGUGAAGGAGAAGGGGUUGAGGGGUACUUGCCCCUCCCCCAGAAAAGCAGGACUUGCCACUAAGGGUGAAGGAGAAGGGUUUGAGGGGUACUUGCCCCUGCCCCAGGAAAGCAGGGAAGGGGUAGAGACAAGGAGAGAAGGGGUUGAGGGGUACUUGCCCCUGCCCCAGGAAAGCAGAGAAGGGGUAGAGACAAGGAGAGAAGGGGUUGAGGGGUACUUGCCCCUCUCCCAGAAAAGCAGAGAAGGGGUAGAGACAAGGAGAGAAAGGGUUGAGGUACUUGCCCCUUCUCCAGAAAAGCGGGACUUGCCGCUAAGGGUGAAGGACGAAGGCAGGUGUCCCUGCGUGGUCUGACACCCUUGAAACGUGGGUGUAUAAUCAGAGAGGUGUCCCUGCAAUGAUUAAACACCAAGGGAAGCUGCCUUCCCAGUCUGUGACCAGCGCCGGAGUUUUGGGUCGACGGAUAAAACGUGUCUCCUUUGUCUCUCCCAGAAAAUGAAAGGAAUUGAAAUUAAGAGAAGGGAGAGAUUGAAGAAUGGAAAGAAGAAAGUGGUUGAGGGACAGUAAGAGAGGUUGGAGAAGAGAGUAAGAAGAGGCCGCUUACCGGAUUUGAAAUUGGUGAGAUGUUUCCUGGGCUGGUCGGUCGGAGGACCUGAGGUCAUAGGUGGAUCUUUCUCAUGGAGCAAAGAACAGGAGGACAGGGGAUUGAU